rnacentral:lncRNA from 1 species
CUCCGAGGCUGGGCGGAGGCCGGAAGGCCUGGGUGCGGGAGCAGAGGGCUGUGGGGAGACUGGGUGGAGAAACCAGAAACUUGGGAGGAGGGAAACAGGUUUCCUUUUUUAGGGCACCCGUGCUGCAGGCACAUGUGGUUGGGAGAAGAAAAAUGCCAGUUACUUUUGUUUGUCUUGAGACAAAGGGAGAAAGGGUUUUCUUUUUUCUGCCUGGAAAUAUAUGUGAAAUGCAUACCUGAAGUUGUACUGGGUGGGGACCGAAGUCGUUGGCAACCACGCUGUAAAGGGGCAAAUCAGAAGGGUCAUUGUAUGAGCAAUGGCUACUGAGAAUGGCUGCAUAAUAGGCGCAUUAUGGAAUGCACACCUGGCUCCUGCAAAGCCCGAGAGUGAGAAAUCGCUUUUAUAGAACCAUCGGGUGAGCAAAAGGAUGAAGGGCUUCCGCUGUGUCAGAACAAACUGGUGCACUAUACACAAUUCCAGGUUGAUCCUGAACAGAGUUCCCAUUCCAGUUCCUUCCCACUCCAAAGGACAGAUGGUGAUGGAGUGGCCUGGUGAUUUACUUGAAAUGAGUUGGUCCCAUGAGCUACAACUAGGAUACUGAAGAUACAGGAGAUCGAUGACGAAGGCCCAGGCAAUUGGAGUAAAGCCCGCUGGCUCUAGCAAUUGGUCCAAGAGUGAGCACCUGUUGAAAGAUGAGCCUUUCUUUUCCAGAGAUUCCCCAAACUGAAGGAUAUUCAUCAACAACUGGGAUCGUCAAGUACUGCUGCCGGACCAGAGCACCACUCAACAACAGCACUGAAAGGAAAGGAUAGAAAGGAACCGAAAGCCACCUGUCGGUGCACAUCUGGGGAGACCUACAGGCAAGACUGAGCCCAUUCAGGUCAUUAUCAGAUCAAACAGAACACCAGCAAAAUAGCAGCAUGACAGUCCAACUGUAUACUUUUUUGUCUAGCUGUGGACCAGUUUUAUCAGCCAUUUAUCUGAUGGUUAUUCGCAAGCCCUACUAUCCUUACCAACAGUGAAGAUGACAUUAUUAGCUUCCUAAUGUAUUAGUAACAAAUGUUUUUUGUGUGGGUCAUUGUGCUAAAUGUUCUACAUAUAUUAUAUCCUUUAAGUUUCCAAUAAGACAGACACUGCUAUACUCAUUUUACAAGGACUCUUAGUGGCACACCCCACAUAAUGGAAACCACCUGAAGUAAGCUGAGUGAGUCUCAUGGGAACAGCCCCUGAUUCAUGUCAAUCUUCCUGCCAAGUUCACUGAACAUAGAUCCCAUGUGACAGAUAUUUCCAUCAAGAAUCCAGAAUCCUAUUGGAAACUGAAACUGAUAAAAUUUAGAAAUUGUUCUCUGUUAUCCGUAUCUUUGGAAGGGACAGUUAAAAAUUACUCAACCACAAAAAUGUACCCCAUGUGGUGAAGGUGCUAUUUUCAUCAUGAUUUAAAGGCCCGUCCUGCUCUAACCCCUCAAUGGGGACCUGAGCAUCCCGCUAAAGGUGAAUGGAGGUCAAAAGAAACUGAAUUAAACACAGAACUAGGCCCAAACUAUUGAGGCCAUUCACACACUUUGAAAAAGGACCUAAGACCGCUAUUUUGUGGGUCUGAAUGAAUGCCCACUGACCUCCCAGUUUCUGUUGUUUCUCCUACACUGAAAUACAUCAACAUUCACACACAUUUGCCAUGCAUCUGAACAGCACUCGGCAUUUUGGAAGUGUGGUCCAUUUCCUAUUCUGGCAUAUUAAGUCAGUCUUCGUGUUUCUCUGUACAUGUGGCAUGCCGUC